GUAUUUGAUCAUUGUAAUGACUAUUUGGUCCUUACAUGACCAUUAGUUCACCUUCUUCCUGCGUCGUUCUCUUUCUCUCUCUGCAUUUUCUUUUUCUUUUUUCAAUUUCAAGCUAAGAUCUACACAAUUUCAUUGGGAAUUUGACUUUGUCACUGAAGGCAAAGUUAACGAGCACGACGAGAGCUUCGAUUUGAUUAGAGCAAAGUUGAAUUUGUGUGGUUUUGGCGCAUUUCGAAUUUAGGGCUUUUUCUUCAAAUCAAGGUUAUGGGGAAGAGUUGGUAAAUGUUGAUCCUCCACUGGCAUGGAUGGGAAUAGAAGGACUUCUUCUUAACCAUUUUGUAUUAUGAUGUAUACUUUGUAAAGUCCAGGCAAAUUUUAGGUAAUGGCCUUAUAGUCGUGACCUUGAUAAUGUAACCUUAUUCUUUGAACAUUCAAAACAUGUAUUUUAGAAUAUGUAUAAUGAUGUAAUUUAAUCCCGCUAUGAUAAAUGGAUGUUAUUUUGUCAA